UCCACCAGCGAUACCAAUGAUGCCUCAGCAACUUAUGCGAUAUAUCCCACAAAAUGGCCAGGGAAACAACAACAUGGCGAAGCCUGAUCAAACUAAACCUCCGCCUGAUCAAACUAAACCUUCGCCUGAUAAAACUAAACCUUAAUAUAAGCUUUGGCUUUGUGGCGUGUUAUGAUCAUCGGAAUGUUGAAUCGUUUCUUUAUAUAUAGAAAGUUUCGUUGUGAACUCAGAUGUAUCCAUAGUUUUACAAUAAGGGUUUAGUUGAUGCCCACAAUAUGUGAAAACACUUUCCUCUGUUCUGUUAUGGUUGAGCAUUGUUCCUCUGUUAUGUUCUGUUUUGCUCAACCUUUUUAUCUUUUUCUGUAUGUAAGAUAAAUAAACAUGAAAAAUAUAUAAAUAUACGUGUGGUGGCACGGUUGUAUUGGAUC